CUCACACAUGCAAGUCGAACGGCAGCGGGGGAAAGCUUGCUUUCCUGCCGGCGAGUGGCGAACGGGUGAGUAAUACAUCGGAACGUGCCCUGUAGUGGGGGAUAACUAGUCGAAAGAUUAGCUAAUACCGCAUACGACCUGAGGGUGAAAGUGGGGGACCGCAAGGCCUCAUGCUAUAGGAGCGGCCGAUGUCUGAUUAGCUAGUUGGUGGGGUAAAGGCCUACCAAGGCGACGAUCAGUAGCUGGUCUGAGAGGACGAUCAGCCACACUGGGACUGAGACACGGCCCAGACUCCUACGGGAGGCAGCAGUGGGGAAUUUUGGGACAAUGGGC
rnacentral:rRNA from 1 species